rnacentral:misc_RNA from 1 species
CGACCCCAGGUCGGGCGGGACCACCCGCUGUGUUUAAGCAUAUCAAUAAGCGGAGGAC